rnacentral:rRNA from 1 species
AAUCUCUGCUCUAUGAAAUUUUAAAUGGCUGCAGUAUUUUAACUGUACAAAGGUAGCAUAAUAAUUAGCCUUUUAAUUGAGGGCUCGUAUGAAUGAUUUAAUGAGAAAUUUAUUAUAAUUUUAAAUAUUCUUUGAAUUUAAUGUUUUGGUAAAAAAGCUGAAUUUUUUGUUUGGGACGAAAAGACCCUAUAGAACUAUUUAAUGUAAAAAAUUUAAUAUUUUAUUAAAAUUUAAAUUUAAAAAUUUUAUUUAAUUGGGGUGAUUAAUAAAUUUAAACUUUAUUUUUUUUUCUUUUCUAUAAAAAAUUAUAUGAUUCAAGUUAUUUAUUGGUUAAAGAAAAAGUUACCUUAGGGAUAACAGCGUAAUUUAAAUGGGGAGUUCUUAUUUAUAUUUAAGUUUGCGACCUCGAUGUUGAAUUAAGAUAAAUGUUAAGGUGAAGUAGCUUAAUUAUUAAGUC